AUGAUACAACCAAAACAAUCGGGCGGACUUGAAUUCCGUGAUCUGGAAAUUUUCAAUUUAGCUCUGCUUGCGAGACAAGCUUGGAGAAUAAUGAAUGAUGGAAAUUCUCUUAGUGCUCAACUCCUGAAAGUUGUUUACUUUCCAAACAAUACACUCCUGGAGGCAGAAUUGGGGUCUCACCCAUCUCAGAUUUGGCGAGCAAUAUUAGAUGGAAAGGAGAUAUUAGCUCAGGGCAUCAUCAGGAGAACUGGGGAUGGGGAAAGCACGGACAUAUGGCCAGAUAAUAGGAUCCCUCGUGAUAGUUAUAAAAGGCCAAUUACAUCUUUAGUGCCUGAUCCGCCACGACACGUAUUUGAUCUUAUUCAUACUACCUCAGCACAAUGGAAUGAAGGGCUAGUUCUCUCAGUUUGUAUUCAUGUUGAUGCAAACGAGAUUCUAAGGAUACCAGUGUGUACGCGGAGACUGCCGGACUUUUGGGAUUGGCAUGAAGAGGCUAUUGGCUGUUUCACUGUCCGCUCGGCUUACCGGAUGAUCCUGAGGACGGAUACAAGCAGAGAUGGAUGGUGGAAUGAGACCGAGGGCUCAUCCUAG
rnacentral:rRNA from 1 species